UCUCUCGAGUUUGUAACGCGUAUUAUCCGCGAGCCGAAGCGACGAUGCGGCGCGUAUGAAUGUCAACGAUCGGCGCGAGGAAAAUCGCCAAGAAGAUGGAGGCAUCGUCGGACGUCGCCGCCGCUGCCGCAGCGUCCAGUCGGUUUUUAUGGACUCUAGUUCUGGUUCUGAUCAAUUUCACGAAUGUCAACGUUUUUUCUACGGCUCAAAGCUCGACCGGUCGACUGCUGUUCGAAGAAAACUUUGACGGCGAGAGUCUAAAUAAAUCUGUAUGGAAGAGAGAAAUCAAAAUACCAUUAGAGCCGGAUUACGAAUUUUGCGUGUUUCACAAACACGAUGAAAACCUCGAGCUGAAGAGAGGAGUUUUGCGAAUAACGCCAAGGUUAUUCGAGGACAUCUACGGCGAGGAUUCCAUCUACAUCGGACAGUUGAGACUUGCCGACUGCACGAGCACGAGUCCUCGAGAAUGCAGUCAGCAGGCCUCGUCGUAUCACGUUCUGCCACCUGUUAUUUCAGCUAAAAUCACAACGAAAGACCAAUUCGAAUUUCGAUAUGGUGUCGUUGAGGUACGAGCCAAAUUUCCAGAAGGAGAUUGGCUUUAUCCAGAAAUGUGGCUGGAGCCCGUGUACAAGAGUUACGAGAGCGGCUCGGCCAAUGCUCGGAUCGAUUUGGGCCGCAGCCGGGGCAACGCCCUGCUGACGAAAAUCGGCGACACCUACAAGGAUUACGGCGCGCGGAUGGUGGAGUUCGGCGUGGCCAACGGCACCGGCAACGAGUUUCACGAGGAGAACGUGAACAAGUUGCGCCGAAACGGCGGCGCUUGGAACAAAGAGUUUCACAUUUACAAGACCACUUGGUCGCCGAAGGGCUUCAGCUUUCACGUGGACGGCCAAUUGGUCGGCAAAUUGCUGCCCAGCGAGAAUUCCGGAUGGACCACUUAUACCGAGGAGGCGCUCGACAAGCUCACGACUCCGUUCGAUGAAAAGUUUUAUCUGUCAAUCGGAUUGGGAGUCGGAGGUGUUCGCGCGUUUCCUGAUGGCACUCAGACGCGAUCUUACGUAAAGCCGUGGAGAAACAUCAAUGCAAAGGCAAUGCUGUUCUUUUGGCAAGCCAAAACGUCGUGGUUCCCGAGCUGGCAGCCCAACCAAGGAGCACAGACUGCAUUAGAGAUAGACUACGUACGAGUUUAUUCGCUCGAUUAGAGAAUAAGCAUCUAUCAGCCAUGUCCAUUGACUCUUGACAAUAGAAUCAUGAUUGCCGGUAUCGACUAUCGAUGGCACCAAGGACCAAUUAAU
rnacentral:misc_RNA from 1 species